UGGGUUAGUGGCGGACGGUGAGUAACGCGUGGGUAACCUGCCUUACACAGGGGGAUAACACUUAGAAAUAGGUGCUAAAACCGCAUAAGCGCACAGCUUCGCAUGAAGCGGUGUGAAAAACUCCGGUGGUGUAAGAUGGACCCGCGUCUGAUUAGCUUGUUGGCGGGGUAACGGCCCACCAAGGCGACGAUCAGUAGCCGGCCUGAGAGGGCGGACGGCCACAUUGGGACUGAGACACGGCCCAGACUCCUACGGGAGGCAGCAG
rnacentral:rRNA from 1 species